UUUUAUUUAAUUGUUAAUAGAUCAUGUUGGUAUGUAUAUUCUAGACUAUCUAUUGUUGAUUCUAAAUUUGAUAUUUCUUCUUUUUGUGCAUUUAUUGAGUUUUUACUAACUCCUGCAAUUAUGUUAUAUUGUAGUCUUUCUAUCCUUAUUUUUAAUUCUUUACAUUUUUCAGAUAUUAUUUGCUUUAAUUCUUUAUAUUUUGGUAAUUUUUGUACGUUCUUCAUCUAAAUAAUAUUUUGGGGAAUAUCUAAAUCUAGUUUUAUCAAAUAAGUCAUAAUCAAUAAAUUAAUCAAAUACUUCCAAAUAUAUACUACUUCCGUAACUUUAAACAACAUAGGUUUUGAUACCAAUUGUAGGGGGUGCGGAUAACUUGUGUGGUAAAAUAGAUCUAUUAUAAAUAUAAAAUGCAAACACCGAAUAAUUUC
rnacentral:lncRNA from 1 species